GGUAGAUAAAAUUUACAAAUCUUGGAAGAGACGAUAGAUUUUAAGGUUAUACAGUCCCUGGGCUUUGGACAUAUGUUUCAGGUAUGUAUAAUUUCAGAAUCUAAGAACUGCCACCAAAUCAUAAGGCUAUAAAAUCAAGAGGCCUUGAUAUACAGUUAGGUACCUGGAGAUGGCUUUUCUUCUAAACGUAUUCAUUCAUUAAAUGACUGCCUCUGGAUUUUCAUCUUAAGGAUUCUUCUCCUGCAUACAUUGACUGCCAAAUACA